AGAUUCCCCCAGUAGCGGCGAGCGAACGGGGAGCAGCCCAGAGCCUGAAUCAGUGUGUGUGUUAGUGGAAGCGUCUGGAAAGGCGCGCGAUACAGGGUGACAGCCCCGUACACAAAAAUGCACAUGCUGUGAGCUCGAUGAGUAGGGCGGGACACGUGGUAUCCUGUCUGAAUAUGGGGGGACCAUCCUCCAAGGCUAAAUACUCCUGACUGACCGAUAGUGAACCAGUACCGUGAGGGAAAGGCGAAAAGAACCCCGGCGAGGGGAGUGAAAAAGAACCUGAAA
rnacentral:rRNA from 1 species